rnacentral:rRNA from 1 species
GACGGGGAGCACCACAACGGGUGGAGCUUGCGGUUUAAUUGGAUUCAACGCCGGAAAUCUUACCGGGACCGACAGCAAUAUGAAGGCCAGGCUGAAGACUUUGCCGGAUUAGCUGAGAGGUGGUGCAUGGCCGUCGUCAGUUCGUACUGUGAAGCAUCCUGUUAAGUCAGGCAACGAGCGAGACCCACGCCCACAGUUGCCAGCGUACUCUCUGGAGUGACGGGUACACUGUGGGACCGCCGCUGCUAAAGCGGAGGAAGGAAUGGGCAACGGUAGGUCAGUAUGCCCCGAAUAUCCCGGGCUACACGCGAGCUACAAUGGUUGGUACAAUGGGUAUCUACCCCGAAAGGGGACGGGAAUCUCCUAAAACCAAUCUUAGUUCGGAUUGAGGGCUGCAACUCGCCCUCAUGAAGCUGGAAUCCGUAGUAAUCGCGUUUCAACAGAACGCGGUGAAUACGUCCCUGCUCCUU